ACUUCCGCCGGACGCUGUUUGGAGAAGGAUGGAGGAGGAGCGGAGACUGCGGGGGAGGCUGAGCCGUCGGAGGCCGCCCGCGGGGUGGGGGCCCCCUAACUGCCGCCCUUGGUUUCUCUCGGAGGGAAGUAAGAGUGAGCCCUGGGCUGCUCUGUUGCGCAGCACCGUGAGCGGGACCGCGGAUUGGACCCCGAACCGUCAGCCAUUACCACCGCUGCCUGCUUUUCCCAGCCAGAGUCUCUACCUGACCCAGAGUCCACUGUGCCUCCUGAGGCCUUCACUGUGGGAUCCAAGACUUUCUCCUGGACGCCUUUGCCACCUGCCCUUCGUGGCUCUGGAAGCUCCCGCCACCUGUUCUGUGAACCUGAAGGCUCCCUGGGGUCACCUACUCCAUCCCUGAAAGGAUGCCCUGCACUAAAUUCUGGUCGAACUCCCAGCGCCCAGGAGUGUGUGCCUGUGCAGAGUCCACUUGCGUUGCUGAGUUGCCCGUUGUGCCAGAAGGCGUUUGACCCGAAGCUGACCCAGCUAGAUGUGGAUAGCCACCUUGCUCAGUGCUUGGCUGAGUGCACCGAAGAUGUGGUGUGGUGAGCAUCAGGGUGCCUUGCUGUAUCUCCUUCAAACCUACACACCGACAUUGGAUGUGGCUUCUGAGACAUCGUCGUGUGGACACCUGAGUAUUGGCUCCUUCUGGUUUUGUUCAUGGGCAUUGGACAUAAUGCUGGUCACUGACAGCAGGCAGCACUGAUCCUCUGUGGACUCAUCUUCAUUGUCAGCCUGACAGGAUGUGGAAUCACCCAGGAGACACAUCUCAGGUGUGCCUGUGAAACCGUUCCCAGAGAUUACCUGGGACAGGAAGUCCCAGCUGAAUGUGGGUGGCACCGUGGCCUGGGGUCCCACUGAUUGAAAAGGGAAAAUGGAGAAAUUGAGCUGUUUCCUCACUGGGGAUGUGAUGAGAUGCACCGCUCGCCUGCUACGGCAGCCAUAGCUACUUUUGCUACUGUGCCCUCCUUGCCACAGGGACUGUACCUUAACUGUGAGCCAGAAUAAAUUUUAAGUUG
rnacentral:lncRNA from 1 species